UCGGCUGCCCAACAAGGGCGUAAUAAGGCUACUGCCGAACGUAAAAAAUGCAAUACACUAAUGGAUUUCAUACUUGCAAAAGGCUACUCUACCCAACAGUUGAAUGAAUUUGCAAAUAGAGGCGACCCUUGUCCUCGUAAGGUCCUUGACCAAGACAUGUUUGUUAUAAGUCCUUUGAAGGAUAGCAAAGUUAAUGCUUCUCUGAUUAUUCCCUUAUCUGUUGGCCCGACGGUGGCUUCUAAGGACCCUUCUAUUUUCACCUAAGGAUUUGGAAGAAGGUGAAAUUCCUAGGUUUAAUAGUGCUAGUGCUAGUGCUAGUGCUAGUGCUGAGACCUCCCUGAG
rnacentral:lncRNA from 1 species